rnacentral:rRNA from 1 species
UGGGGAAUAUUGCACAAUGGGCGAAAGCCUGAUGCAGCGACGCCGCGUGAGGGAUGACGGCCUUCGGGUUGUAAACCUCUUUCAGCAGGGACGAAGCGCAAGUGACUGUACCUGCAGAAGAAGCACCGGCUAACUACGUGCCAGCAGCCGCGGUAAUACGUAGGGUGCGAGCGUUGUCCGGAAUUAUUGGGCGUAAAGAGCUUGUAGGUGGCUCGUUGCGUCGGGAGUGAAAACCCGCGGCUUAACCGCGGGCCUGCUUCCGAUACGGGCGAGCUAGAGUUCGGCAGGGGAGACUGGAAUUCCUGGUGUAGCGGUGGAAUGCGCAGAUAUCAGGAGGAACACCGGUGGCGAAGGCGGGUCUCUGGGCCGAUACUGACACUGAGAAGCGAAAGCGUGGGGAGCGAACAG